AGCACUGCUCUUCCGUUAUUCUGACUUCGAAUUUGCCUUUUACCAAUUCAAACAGGGAUGGAGAGCAAAGACAGUGCCUACUCAAAUCUUUGGAACACACCUGAUCGUUUGA
rnacentral:snRNA from 1 species